GAUGAACGCUAGCGGCAGGCUUAAUACAUGCAAGUCGUGGGGCAGCAUGAAGUAGCAAUACUUUGAUGGCGACCGGCAAACGGGUGCGGAACACGUACACAACCUUCCUUUUAGUGGGGAAUAGCCCAGAGAAAUUUGGAUUAAUACCCCGUAACAUAGCGAUGUGGCAUCACAUUGCUAUUAUAGCUUCGGCGCUAGAUGAUGGGUGUGCGUAUGAUUAGAUAGUUGGCGAGGUAACGGCUCAACAAGUCUACGAUCAUUAGCUGAUGGGAGAGCAUGAUCAGCCAGACGGGCACUGAGACACGGGCCCGACUACUACAGGAGGCAGCAGUAAGGAAUAUUGGUCAAUGGACGAAAGUCUGAACCAGCCAUGCCGCGUGAAGGAUUAAGGUCCUCUGGAUUGUAAACUUCUUUUAUAUGGGACGAAAAAAGGUCUUUCUAGAUCACUUGACGGUACCCUAGGAAUAAGCACCGGCUAAUCAUGUGCCAGCCGCCGCCGUAACAC
rnacentral:rRNA from 1 species